GUCAUUUUCGGACACGAAAUAGAAACCUUUAAAUUUCAAUUUUAAAUUAGAAUAUAAAUUAAUCAUAAAUUUUAUUUAGUGUAAAAAUAUUAUUAGAGGUUAGGAGUUAAUUAAUUGUGAUUAUAUUAUUAAGUGGAAAUUAGUAAUUAAUUAAAUUAAUUAAAGUUAAUUACAAAAGUGGGCCCCACCCGAAAUAAAUAAAAAAAAAACACAACUAGAUGACACAUUAGGGGGCACGUGUAGGGACCAAGGAACAAGUAUAUAUGUGAACAAGAUGAUUCACAAAUCAUCAAGGCAACAUUUCAUUUGAAUUAGCACAAAAAAAAAAGGAGCAAGAAUAUUGCCAUGGCUGCCAACCUCUCGGCCAGCCAUGGCUGUUGGGAAAAAAUAUUUUGUUCCUUGUUUUGAUUAAUUUUCAAGUGUGGUACAAAUUCAAGGAGGUGAUAGCAACAUUGGAUUUUAAGUUGGAGAAGAAGAGAUUGCGAAAUUGGAGCAAUUAAGAGUAGAAAUUCCUCCGAGAAAAUUAAGGCUAAAAGAGCGACGAGGCGAACGGGUUUACGAAUAGCCGUCAACAGGUGCAGAUACUCGCUUUGGUGAUCCGCCGUCUUAGGACUCCCUUCUGCUGUCUUGGAGAGCUCCGUUGUUCCGGAGUUUAGACUUUUGGUACAGAUCUUAUGAUAUAUAUAUAUAUAUAUAUAUAUAUAUAUAUAUAUAUAUAUAUAUAUAUAUAUGUGUGUAUGUUUAUCCAGGGGUACGACGGGGCCCUGUCCCGUCAUAUUUCGCUAUUCGCACUCUUAGAGGUCUGUAGACAUAUGUGUGGGUUGUGUAUGGGUUCUGUUCAGCUGUGUCUAUACGAUGUGCUGUGGUAUGAUGUUCAUCUCUAGUAGCAGCCUUGUGGGCUUGCAUACGAUAUUGAUAUGUGAUGGUAGCAUGCGAUA